AAAUUGAAGAGUUUGAUCAUGGCUCAGAUUGAACGCUGGCGGCAGGCCUAACACAUGCAAGUCGAACGGUAGCACAGAGGAGCUUGCUCCUUGGGUGACGAGUGGCGGACGGGUGAGUAAUGUCUGGGAAACUGCCCGAUGGAGGGGGAUAACUACUGGAAACGGUAGCUAAUACCGCAUAACGUCGCAAGACCAAAGAGGGGGACCUUCGGGCCUCUUGCCAUCGGAUGUGCCCAGAUGGGAUUAGCUAGUAGGUGGGGUAACGGCUCACCUAGGCGACGAUCCCUAGCUGGUCUGAGAGGAUGACCAGCCACACUGGAACUGAGACACGGUCCAGACUCCUACGGGAGGCAGCAGUGGGGAAUAUUGCACAAUGGGCGCAAGCCUGAUGCAGCCAUGCCGCGUGUAUGAAGAAGGCCUUCGGGUUGUAAA
rnacentral:rRNA from 1 species